rnacentral:rRNA from 1 species
GACUACUCGGGUAUCUAAUCCUGUUUGCUCCCCACGCUUUCGCAUCUCAGCGUCAAUAAUGUUCCAGUAGAUCGCCUUCGCAAUCGGUAUUCCUUCUGAUCUCUACGGAUUUUACCCCUACACCAGAAAUUCCAUCUACCUCUCCCACAUUCUAGACUAACAGUUUUCAAAGCAGUUCUAUAGUUAAGCUAUAGGAUUUCACUUCAAACUUAUUAAUCCGCCUACAUGCUCUUUACGCCCAGUGAUUCCGAGUAACGCUUGCACCCCCCGUAUUACCGCGGCUGCUGGCACGGAGUUAGCCGGUGCUUAUUCAUAUAAUACCGUCAUUAUCUUCUUAUAUAAAAGGAGUUUACGCACCGAAAUGUGUCAUCCUCCACGCGGCGUUGCUGCAUCAGACUUUCGUCCAUUGUGCAAUAUUCCCCACUGCAGCCCCCCGUAGG